rnacentral:rRNA from 1 species
UGACGAGUGGCGGACGGGUGAGUAAUGCAUAGGAAUCUGCCCAGUAGCGGGGGACAACUUGGUGAAAACCAAGCUAAUACCGCAUACGCCCUACGGGGGAAAGCAGGGGAUCUUCGGACCUUGCACUAUUGGAGGAGCCUGCGUUGGAUUAGCUAGUUGGUAGGGUAAAGGCCUACCAAGGCGACGAUCCAUAGCUGGUCUGAGAGGAUGAUCAGCCACACCGGAACUGAGACACGGUCCAGACUCC